GGGAUUCUGCUUUUGCAUCUUCCUCGUUUUCUCUUGCCGCUGCCAAGUAAGAAGUGCCUUUCACCUCACACCAUGUUUCUGAGGCCUCCCCAGCCAUGUGGAACUGCAAGUCCAGUUAAACCUCUUUUUCUUCUCAGGGCUACCUUAAUGAGCAGCCAGGAUGCCAUCAUCUCCGACCUGAAUGACAAUAACCUCCAAACCAGCCUUUGUAUACUCCUUCCUGCUGCUCUGCAGUCCACUUCCACAGACCAGCCAACUGAAUCUCCUUAUAGAUUCAUAAUGGCCAUCAGCACAAAGAUGUUUUAUCUGCAGUCAACCAGUCAUGUUUCAUGAUGGCAUCAAAAUGUGCUGGAAAAGGUCAGAGAAAAUCAUCAUCAUAAAGUGAAGUGAUUUUCUUCUUUAUGAGCUCCUGAUGUAAACAGACUGAUGAGCACAACACAAUCCUUACUCACCCACAUGACAUCAUACACAAUCACAGCUAAAUGUUUCUAUCUGUCAAAGCCUGAAGAGUGACUACCAGAUUGUUGCCUGAUUGCUAAGAAUUGAUGCUUGUUCAACUGGGAUCUAUCCAGAGAAACAUAAUCCACUUCAAGAAUUUUCUGAAAAGGGAAUCUAAUGCAAGGAAUUAAUUGCAAAGAUGAUGCAAUAUCUGAGAACGAUAGAUUUGACAGUUUGGUCUACAUUUCAAGGCUGGUUAGAUGGGAGGUAUGUCCUGGUAUAUUAGUUAAUUUAGGUAUAUCUUACUGAUUUACAUUGCAUGAUUUAUCAGAUGCUAUUGACUCAUUCAAGUAAAUACAUUUAAAAAUUAUACCUUUUGCUCAUACUAG
rnacentral:lncRNA from 1 species